CCCCUAGAUGUUCUGGGCCGCACGCGCGCUACACUGACGAAUGCAACGAGCUUAUAACCUUGGCCGAAAGGUCUGGGUAAUCUCCAAAUUUCGUCGUGAUGGGGAUAGAUUAUUGCAAUUAUUAAUCUUCAACGAGGAAUGCCUAGUAAACGCAAGUCAUCAGCUUGCAUUGAUUACGUCCCUGCCCUUUGUACACACCGCCCGUCGCACCUACCGAUUGAAUGGUCCGGUGAAAUCUCGGGACGGCGGCUUGGUCGCUUGCGUCCGACUGCUGAAACUUGAUUAAACCAUAUCAUUUAGAGGAAGGUGAAGUCGUAACA
rnacentral:rRNA from 1 species